rnacentral:rRNA from 1 species
CCCCUAGGAACCGGGAGAGGUGAGGGGUACCUCGGGGGGAGGAGAGAAAUCCUGGAUCCUCGCUCACCACCUGUGGCGAAGGCGCCUCACCAGAACGGCUUCGACAGUGAGGGACGAAAGCUGGGGGAGCAAACCGGAGUUGUUCCCUAGUAGUCCCAGCCGUAACGAACGCGGUAGGGCGUCACGCCACGAUCGUGAUGUGCCGCAGGAAACCGUGAAACGCGACCAUCAAUAGU